GAUGAACGCUAGCGGCAGGCUUAACACAUGCAAGUCGAGGGGUAUAGUUCUUCGGAGCUAGAGACCGGCGCACGGGUGCGUAACGCGUAUGCAAUCUACCUUUUACAGAGGGAUAGCCCCAGAGAAAUUUGGAUUAAUACCUCAUAGUAUGUGAGAAUCGCAUGGUUUUCACAUUAAAGUUCCAACGGUAAAGAUGAGCAUGCGUCCCAUUAGCUAGAUGGUAAGGUAACGGCUUACCAUGGCUACGAUGGGUAGGGGUCCUGAGAGGGAGAUCCCCCACACUGGUACUGAGACACGGACCAGACUCCUACGGGAGGCAGCAGUGAGGAAUAUUGGACAAUGGGCGCAAGCCUGAUCCAGCCAUGCCGCGUGCAGGAUGAAGGCCUUAGGGUUGUAAAGUUCUUUCGCCGAUGAAGAUAAUGACGGUAGUCGGAGAAAAAGCCCCGGCUAACUUCGUGCCAGCAGCCGCGGUAAUGUGACUACUG
rnacentral:rRNA from 1 species